rnacentral:rRNA from 1 species
AACCGUACCCCAAACCGACACAGGUGGUUGGGUAGAGAAUACCAAGGCGCUUGAGAGAACUCGGGUGAAGGAACUAGGCAAAAUAGUACCGUAACUUCGGGAGAAGGUACGCUGAUGACGGUGAUGAGACUUGCUCUCUAAGCUAUUGUCAGUCGCAGUGACCAGAUGGCUGGGACUGUUUAUUAAAAACACAGCACUGUGCUAAAUCGAAAGAUGACGUAUACGGUGUGACACCUGCCCGGUGCCGGAAGGUUAAUUGAUGGGGUUAGCGUCUGCGAAGCUCUUGAUCGAAGCCCCGGUAAACGGCGGCCGUAACUAUAACGGUCCUAAGGUAGCGAAAUUCCUUGUCGGGUAAGUUCCGACCUGCACGAAUGGUGUAACCAUGGCCAUGCUGUCUCCACCCGAGACUCAGUGAAAUUGAAAUCGCUGUGAAGAUGCAGUGUACCCGCGGCUAGACGGAAAGACCCCGUGAACCUUUACUAUAGCUUGGCAGUGAACAUUGAGCCUACAUGUGUAGGAUAGGUGGGAGGCUUUGAAGCAGCGUCGCCAGAUGUUGUGGAGCCAUCCUUGAAAUACCACCCUUGUAUGUUUGAUGUUCUAACCAUGCACCGUUAUCCGGUGCUGGGACACUGCCUGGUGGGUAGUUUGACUGGGGCGGUCUCCUCCCAAAGCGUAACGGAGGAGCACGAAGGUUGGCUAAGUACGGUCGGACAUCGUACGGUUAGUGCAAUGGCAUAAGCCAGCUUAACUGCGAGAUAGACACAUCGAGCAGGUACGAAAGUAGGUCAUAGUGAUCCGGCGGCUCUGUAUGGAAGGGCCGUCGCUCAACGGAUAAAAGGUACUCCGGGGAUAACAGGCUGAUACCGCCCAAGAGUUCAUAUCGACGGCGGUGUUUGGCACCUCGAUGUCGGCUCAUCACAUCCUGGGGCUGAAGUCGGUCCCAAGGGUAUGGCUGUUCGCCAUUUAAAGUGGUACGCGAGCUGGGUUUAGAACGUCGUGAGACAGUUCGGUCCCUAUCUGCCGUGGGCGUUUGAGAAUUGAGAGGGGCUGCUCCUAGUACGAGAGGACCGGAGUGGACGAACCUCUGGUGUUCGGGUUGUGACGCCAGUCGCAUUGCCCGGUAGCUAAGUUCGGAAUCGAUAACCGCUGAAAGCAUCUAAGCGGGAAGCGAGCCUCGAGAUGAGUUCUCACUAGACCUUUAAGGUCUCUGAAGGGUCGUCGAAGACUACGACGUUGAUAGGCAGGGUGUGGAAGCGCUGUGAGGCGUUAAGCUAACCUGUACUAAUUGCCCGU